UACGAAGGGUGCAAGCGUUAUUCGAAAUUACUGGGCGUAAAGAGUGCGUAGACGGUAUAUUAAGUUCGUCGUUAAAGACUCUGGCCUAACCGGAGAGCUGCGAUGAAAAACUGGUGUGCUAGAGGGUGAGAGAGAGAAGUGGAAUUCCCGGAGUAGCGGUAAAAUGCGUGGAUCUCGGGAGGAACACCAAUGGCGAAGGCAGCUUCUUGGCUCAUUCCUGACGUUGAGGCACGAAAGCGUGGGGAGCAAACAGG
rnacentral:rRNA from 1 species